UAAAUUGAAUCUGACAAUUAAGGGAGGAAGAAGGUCAGAGAGGGAAGAAACAGUGAGGGGUAGAGAAAAGAAAGGAGAAAGGUGCAGGGAGGCGAGGGAGCCACCGUCGAUUGCGACAACAGGGUUCCCGCGGAGGAAGAAAGUGCCGAAGGAGGGGGGAAUACAGCAGGCGAGGGAGAUGAGUUGUGUGUUGUGAUUGUGUAAUGGUGUCGAGGGACGGAAAAACCACCGACCAUGGUGGAGGAGGGAGGGAGGGGGGGGGGGGGGGGGCAAAACCACGGAUGAGUUUGUAAUUCACAGUCCAACACUUACAUCAAGCAAAUGGUGGCCUGGAGGUUUGGGUAAAGUAUCGACACAUGCUGUUGUUUAUGCUCGUCUUAUAAUUGAGGGUCAAGACCACGGGGUACAUGGGCACUACUUUUGAUGAUAUCUUACUUCAAAUGGAUGCACAUUUUCUAAAUGAGUUGAUAUAUGUUGCACACUACCUGCAACUCAAAUAGCUGAUUGAUCGCACUUAUGAAGCCAUGGUCAAGAAGAUGGAUAAUUUAUCAUCAUUUGAGGAACUAUAUCACAUGUUGCAUUGUCCAGAUAAUGUUACAGAGGAAGAACACUACUCGUGGAUAGAGAUUUUCAGAAGAUUUUCACAGAAAGAAAACAAGGAAAAGGAGAGUUCAGAGAAGUUUGAGAUUGUAUCAAAGCCAAGGCCCUAUGAAGAUACGCGCUCGAUUGAUGACCUCCUUGCCUUCAUUAAUGGAGUGGAUGGAGAUUAUAAGGGUGCCCAAACUCAUAAGAAGAAGAAGAAGAAAAACAGUAAAAAGAAGGAAAGACAAAAUAAUGAUUCUUCCCCAUGUGCUGCUUCCUCAUCAACUAAUUCCGGAAUUCUGAGAGAAGGGGUUGAGGGUCCUUAUGAAAUCAGCACCCAGGAUUCAAAUGCUUUUGAAGCUACAAUCCAUGGCGUCCAGAGUAGUUCUAUGGCAAACAUGGUCGCUGAUAAGUUAAAGCUGUCCAACACUCCUGAUAAGAAUGUCACUGUUGAGGAUGACAUUAACAGGGGUGACUGUGACCUUACUCCCAGCCCAGGGUUUGAUAGGGCAUUGGAAGACUUUGCUCGAAGAUUAAUAUCAAAAGGGCCUGUUAUAUAUUUUGACUCUUCUAGUCACGAAGAGUUAGGAAGUCAUUAAGUUUCCGACGGUGAAAAGGGAUCAGAGAUGAUGAAAGGUCAUUGAUUACAAAACACAGCAGAACAGGCCUUUCCCUUUGCUGGCUUCUGCUUAUGCAUUCAGAUUUGUUUCUAAAUGGAUAAAAUGGUUGUAUGGGCAUGUGACAGCCAAGAUUGAAUGCCAAUGACUUCUCAAUGUUGCCGGAGGCACAUGCAUGUAUUGUCGGGCUUAAGUCUUCGACCACAUCUGUCACUGCAGACCCAAAUUUUCCAGGGAAACAUCAGCAACUGCCCAUGUCUCAUUAUCAAUUUGUUUGCAGUAUCUCGCAAAGGAGUAUUCUCGAGUUGGAACAAGUGGUGAUAAGACGUGAAAGUCAGCUGUCAUCUGGAUAUCAUACAAGUUAGUAUUUUAGUUUCAAAACUUUUAUAAGCAAAUUUAUAAGUAUAAAUCAAAUACACAGGUUUUAUUGUCGCCUAUAUCUCAUACUCAAUCUUCAAAACACUAUUUCUGAUAUAAAAAAAAAAAAGCAGCUAAUCCAUACCACUUGUAAGGCUCCGUUAUAAUUUCCAUCCAUGCCAUUUGAAACAACGUCAAUGGUCGAUGCUCGUGAAACUAUGCCAGAAAAAACAGUUGACCAUUGUUUCUGAUGAUAUAAAGCAGAUUAGUCAAUGAUCUGAAGGCUAAUUUCGUAUAAACAUACAAUCCAAAUGCAUCAAUGGACACACACAUAUACAGGGGGGAGAGAGAGGGGGAGGGAGACCAUACCACAUCCAUCAAAAUUUCCACGAGUUUGGUAUGAUUGAUGAAAAUAAUAGCAGACUGUCUCGAUGCCUCAGAUUUCAUUUCCAUAGGUUCCAAUUCGAUCCCUUUGGGGAAAAUACUUAAGUACUCAUUUUUACUCAAACGUUCAAUACCAUUGUCUGUGUUUGGAAUCCAUAGGGGUUCUCCAGCUUGAGCCAUCCUAAGGAGUUCCUCCAUUGCUGCAGAUGCUUGCUCAACUAUGAAGGGAUUGUCAGGCUCAAUAGGCCCAACAACUGACUCAAGUAGUGCCUAUACAUAUGCAUAUUCAUCAAUAAAUAAUCAUACUAGUGUCAUAAAUUGAACAAAUGAUUAUUCAAAUUAAACACUAUAGUUUACAAGUAACUGCAAAAUCAAAGUACCUUUUCUCUUGAAUGACUAGUUUCAACCUCCGAAUGUUUUUCUUUAGAUGACAUCUCGUCUAUAGUAGCAGGGAAAUGUUCAUUCUUGGCCAUUUCAAUUGUUGCGUUUGGUUUGCCUUAUUUUCUAAAAUCUUCCUUAGCUUAUUUUUCAGAUGACUCAUAUGUUUAUAAAUGAGUUGCACAUCUACAACUCACAUGCUGAAUACAAUAAAUGGAUGGCUAUAUUGAGAACCGUUGCACAUCUACAACUCACUUACUGAAUGCAAUAAAUGGAUGGCUAUAUUGAGAACCGUUGGAUUAUAUAUAAAAUUUGAAGAUUAUAUUGAGAAGCGUUGGAUCAUAUUUGUUAUGGGUUGGUGGGAGUUGGGGGUCGGGGAUUUGAUCAGCAAAAUUAUUCAAUAUAAUAAAGGGAGGUUAUAUUGAGGAGCGUAUAUGAUAGUGGAGGUUGGGGAUUCAAUAAAUACAAUCUUCGAAUCCAUUAGAUCAUAUCUAUUUUAAUUAGUGGGUGGUUCGGGAUUCGAUCAAUACAGUCAUUGAAUUUAAUAAAAUAAUGGGGAGCAUAUGAUUAUAUCUAUUAUAGUCGGUGAGAGUUGGAACGCGCAUAAAUAGUACAAAACGGAUCAACCGGGUGGUAGAAUAUAAAAAUAUACAAUAACUUAUUUAUAAAUGGGAAAAUAGAUUUUUUUUGUCACUCAACUUAUUGUGUUUUUAGAAAUUUACCACCCAACUAUAAAUUUUUUUUAUUUUACUCACUAAUGUUAGGUUCAGAUUUUUUUCCUUAUAACUUCUACUUCUUUCUUUUCUUCUUUCAUAAUAAAUAUUCACUUUUUUAAAUCAUCAAACAUUCUUACCAAAAUUAUUUAGAGACUUAAAUAACUUAUAACUCACAUUAUCUAAAUUAUUUAAUAACUUAUAACUCAUAUAUAAUACUUAUCACUUAUAAUCCAUUUCUUUACUUUUAAAUGUAUGUAACUUUUUUAUAUUAAGAGAAGCGGUCCCUAGACGCUCAACAUUAUAUACUAAGAUUUUUGUCCAUUUAUCAACCUUUUCUUUCCACUCAUGUUUGACUUAAUAAUGACCAUCCGAUCACUUUUGGGAAGUGAUGUCCCUAUCACGAUACCCAAACUUAAACCCAUUAAUUUAAUACUUUCCCCUCAUAUUUCACUUAAUAAUGACCAUCGUGUCACUUUUGGGAGGUAAUGUCUUUAUCCCGAUCCCUGAACUCAAACUCAUAUUUCUGUCAUACAGAGUGGAGAUUAAUUUUCUCCACAAUCCACAUCUUAAAUGAGAAACACGUGCAAGAUUCUAGAAAUUUCACAUAGAAAUAUAUGUUCAAAAAAAUCUCAAAAAUCAUAAUGUAUUUUUUUUUAAAAUUUAAUAUCAGAUUUUAAAUAUUAAAACAUGCACGAAUAUAUAUUUCUUGUAUAAGUAAAAGACAUUAAAAAAUUCCUUGCAAAAAAGAUAUAAAAUAAUUACCAUCUUAAAUGAUUUUGUACUAUGAAACAAUUUAUUAAUAAAAAAGAAUAACAAUGUAAAAAUAUUAUAGUAUAUAUAUACAUAUAUAAUAUCUUUCUUGAAUAAUUUAUAAAUAUAUAUCUAUAAAAUAUACUCCCUCCGUUCCUUACAUCUGUUAACAGUUUUUUCCAUUAUCUGACACGCAUUUUAAGACAUGCAUAAAAUGUAUUCCUUAACUUUUUUUUGAAAUUUUCUUUUUCUGAAUAAAAAUUUGAACAUUAAAUUUAUAAAACUGUACUAUAUAAGAGUAUUUAUAUGUGCGUAUGGAACACUCUCUCCAAGAUACAACAGAAAGGACCGUAAAGGACUAUGGGAGGAGGAAGAAGAGAAAGAGAGCGGCGAGACUCACGAAGAGGAAGAGAGAGAGGACGAAGAGGAAAAUGAUGAUGGGCUUGAUUAGGAGUGACUUGGAGGAUGGGUUUCAGUUUUUGAUUUUCGCUGACAGCAUUGUGUGUGUGUUUAUAAAUGAAUAUUUAUGUGGUGGCGGCUUGGCGGGUAGGAUUUCGGUGGUGGGUACAUGACUGGCGGAAGGAGGUUCGUUGCAGGAGGAAUUUCAAGAGAAAGGAAGAUGAAGUAUUAAGGUGAUGAUGAUGACCGAUAGAGGGAGAAAAGAGGUGAGUUAAGAGAGAGGGAAAUUACUACUAUACCCUUGAAUUUGUUAGCGUUAACGGUCCACUCUAACCGUUAGAUGGUCAAAAGGGUGCAAAGUGAAGCGAGAAUUAAACAGUAGGGUGUGUUCUGCCAAGAAAAAUUGUUUAAGACCAAUUCAAAAAAGCGCUCAAACUUAUUGGUUGCAAAGUGUAAUUUAAUCUGAUAAAUAAGAGUAAUAACAAACUUGCUGAUUGUCCGACUUGAUUAACUUUCAAUUCAAUAGAAUCUCUUAACCUUCACUCAUGUCCUUGAUUUGCUAUAUCUCCAAUAAUGGUGGCCUGGAGGCUUAGGAAAAGUAUCAACACAUGUUGUUGUUUAUGCUCGUCUUAUUGUGGAGGGUCAAGACCAUGAAAUACAUGGCAAGCUGUAUAAAUUAACUUUUCCCAUCAUCUUGUGGAAAAUCAAUAGACAUAAGUAAUCUGUGUGCGAUAACUAAGCUAAACUAGUGUGCUCUUUAUACACACGUUCCUAAGGUUUUAUUGUCCAUUGAGUUGUAUGCUCCAUUUCCAAAUUUUGGACCAAUAUCACCAAAAGUUAUUCCCCGGAGAGUAAUAUGCAUCUCAAAAAAUGCUCCAUGAGCUUCAGCACCAUUAAUUCGCGUAAAAUUAUCAACUUUCCGUUGGAGUUGAACUUAAGUCUGUUUUUGUUGCACGCAUAUACUUGAGUAGCCUCAGAGAACUAGUUAAUAGUAUGACCCCCUCGCCAACUGAUCAAGUUUUUCUUGAAAGACUAAAUGGAAUACCUGAUACUUGAGUGUAAAACUGAGAUAACUGCUGAAAGUGGUUCUACAGGCUGGGAAAAAGGUUGAUUGAUAAAUUGAAACAGGAAGUUCCUGGAAGGGGGGUUACACAACAACUUAAAUAUCUGUAAUUGCACUUUCUCUUCUCUACAAGCACCAGGGUGAAUUUCUCGCUACUAGCUGUAUCACAGCCGAGCAAGCUUCGGUUGCAACUACACAACUUAGAAACUUAUAUUCACAGGCUUUUUAUGAUGAUUGCUAGCAAAUAUUUAUUAAUUUUUUUAUUAAUCAUAUAUUAGGCCAGGGUUCUAAAUAUCCAUGGUUUAUGAUCAGGUCCGGCCCAAUGCCGUUGCACUUGUAGAUGCAUUCAACCAUAUGAUGGAAAUGUGUUGUAGACUGUAGUAUAUGCCUAUAUGCCAUGUACUAGGUCCAUAUGCCAGCCGAAAGUAGCUGUAACAGUCACCUUUCAUGUAAUUCGACAGGCUCAGAGUAUAACAUCUCGCCCUCCUGGAACUUCCAGUACGCGAAUAGUUUUGUUGUCUCUUUCAGCUUCUUCAUUUCCUUGGAUAAGGCCUCCCAAGGUAUUUAUCUUAAAAUUGGUAAAAGAUCAUAUCCUCCAUGGAACUGCAGCUCGAGAGAGCACAAUAUACACACAACUGAUCUACAUAGAGACUAACAUAAGGAGAACUAGUAAAAUCUUAUUGAUCAAAAGUCAAAUAUCUACAAUCUGAAUGUUGUAUAUAUGCAGCAUUUAGUUUGUUACGAUAUGCGGUUAUGAUAUGAUAAGCUGACUAAUAUGAGCAGAGCAAUAGCCCAGCAAAUGCCAGUGUGCUUUUAUGCCACGCCCUUUGGACUGUAGAAGGCACAUGGCGGAGCUGUUUGUGCCAAAGAGAUUGAGAAGGCUGAUGAGAAGCAACAAAGACAGAUGGGACAGUAGAAGUUGUAAUAUUAGGUCCUUUGUUGAAUAGUCUGCAGAAGUGAGUUUGAGUUAAUUGACUUUGUAAGACCUCAAUUUUGGAGGAAAUUGCUGAAAAUCUGUGGAUGCAACCUGCAGAGCAUGUGAUUUGCCAGGAGAAGUAGUAGAUCUGUUAGAAGUGGAUUUCUUCUUGCCCUUAUUAUUGGGAUGGCAGGGAUGAUGAUCAAGAGGAUAGCCAACAAAUUUAUUAUACUUGUCUUUCGUAUGACCUUUGAUAUGACAAUGAGAAAACUCUUGGAUGGGUAUGAGGCGUGUCACUAAAUCUAUUUGGUGUCUAACCUGUAGGUGCAGCUGAUUGUUUUGGCAAAUUUACUAUCAUUGUCAAAGGAGGUGUAGAAGCAGAAUCAUGAGAUUAAUGUUGUUUCUCUUCGUGUUUGAGUAACAUGAAGGCGUGAUUAACAGAUGGUCAGGGGUUCAUCAUAAGAAGUUGACCGCAGGCUGCAAUAUAGCUUGAGUGAAGAAGCAUGAAGAAUUGAAUUAAACGAGUCUUCUCAAGUUGCAAAGCUCGGCCUCUACAAGCAGCACAUGUGCACUUAAUAGGAUGUUCCAAAGCUUCUAGGUCAUCCCAAAAACCCUUAUUUUGUGAAAAUAGAAAUCCAUCGAGUUUGUCCUUUGCUCAAGCUUAAAAAGAGCACGUUGAGUUCAUUCCAACAGCAUUGGCACCGUCCAUAAAAUACAUACUAU